rnacentral:pre_miRNA from 1 species
UUUUCUACGAAUCAGAAUGACCUAAAAUUUGGAGCGUGUGUUCAUAAAAAACAGGCAAAUCUAAAAAAACUAUAAAAAAAAUAAUUUACAUGAAAAAAUUGACCAAAAUACCCCCAAAACGUUUUGGGGGUAUUUUGGUCAAUUUCUUUGGUGAAUUAUUUUUUGUAUAUUUUUAUUAGGUGCACCUCACUAAGAUGUACACACGCUCGAAAUUUUAGGUCAUUGUGAUUUGUAGAAAA